GUAGCCUGUAGCUCAGCUGGUUAGAGCGCACGCCUGAUAAGCGUGAGGUCGGUGGUUCGAGUCCACUCAGGCUACC
rnacentral:tRNA from 1 species